UGAUAAUGUUUGUUAAUGAAAGAGAUUUAUUGAAAGAGAGUACGGGACAAAUUAAUAUUUAAACCUUAAACUAGCAGCGCGCGUCACUUUCUGAGUUAAGUGCGCGACGUGCGCGUGCCCGUCAUAUUGUAACGGUCAACUUCCAGCGGACGGACACGGAGGAAAAGGUCCUGACUGCCACCAGUUGAGUCAAUGAUUCAGUGAGUUGCUUAUAAGAAAAGAUAUUAAUCUGUUACCACCUAGUAGUUUAACUUUAUUAUUUAUUGCUGUAAAAUUAACACAUAUUUAUCAUCAAGUGGAGAGACAGUCUGGGCAGCAGCAACAAGACAACUAUUACAAGUAGAGAUGGGUUUUAAGAACUGACACAACCACAUAUCAUCCAAAUCAUCUCCAAGUGGAUGGCAGCAAGGAUCCAGGAUCAAGAGAUGAUUCAUCAUGAAGACUGUUCCAUAGGAAGCAGUGAAUCCUGGGUGAACAACUAAACCUGGUUGUUUCAGCAUCACUC